rnacentral:lncRNA from 1 species
CAAGAGAUACAGGAGAGAUAACAGAAUUACACUCAAGUCUGAUAAUGCCAUACAAUUUCAUUGGAAACUGCAAAGAUUGAGGGAAGUUGAAGUAUUCACUCUGUGUGGUGUUCAUUCAGCCAGAUCCUAUUAAGCCUGAGCAUCACAAAUGCUCAUGGGAAAUUGAGAAAACUAUAGUUUAUAGAAGUAAACGGAUCAUUAACCAGAAAUGGGUGUUCUGAAGGUUCACCAAGAUAAGGAAGAAGGCAAGGACUCAGGAGAGCACUAUGUAGGAAUGAAGAUUUGCAUUUGGCUGUAGCUUUCCUUGUGUCAUGGAUCUUAGGAGGAAAGUGUUUUAAUAUGGAAACAGAAGGAUUACAGAACUCUCAGACUUUGAGAAUUCUUGAUUUAACUGAUCAGUCUC